UCGCACCGCCAUCACCGAUUACCGCAAGAGCUCGAAUCACGAGUCCGCCGAGAUCAGAUUCGUACUCUUAAUCCUCCUUAUUCAUGUUGGAUUCUGCAUCUGCAACCGGAGAGCGUUUCUCUCGCCGUCGGUGAACCAGCUCACAAGCAAUUCGAAAGUCCAAAGAGCUUCAUCUGCACCUGAAGAACUGAGAUCUUAUCAUCAAUGAUUCAGCUCUGAAGCACCAUACAAAUUCAAAGGGUAUGCGAGAACAUUCCGAUUGUUUUGUGCGGAAACAAGGUGGAUGUAAAGAAUAGGCAGGUGAAAGCAAAGGAGGUUACCUUUCAUAGGAAGAAAAAUCUCCAGUACUAUGAAAUCUCUGCCAAGAGCAAUUACAACUUUGAGAAACCUUUCUUGUACCUUGCCAGAAAGUACUUGCAGGACUAACGUGUUCUUAGCACCACAGAUUGCUAUAGCUACAGCAAGGUUCAAUAUAAACAUGUGGGGUAAGAGGCUUCCAUGGCAAUGCCACAAAGGCCUCCCGGUGCAGCAACAUCUCUUUGCAUUCUUGUAUAGAUGAUUACAUUGGAAGGAUAGGAAGUUCCAACUUCAAUGGGGACACAAGAGGCAUCUGUAAGUGUUGAAAUUUAUCAUGAAGAUCCAAAGUGAAGCUGGUCUCUUAAGAAACAAGAUGUCUUUCAAGUGGAAUGUGCUGUGUUGAGGCAAUCCACCCUUAUGUACUUUAGGUUCAUUUUUUUUAUUGGUUUUGCUAUAAGCAGUCAUUUGUGAUUGCUUCACAACAUUUGUUUGUAUACUACUCAACUUUUAUACAAGUGAAGGUUCUUUGCAACAAGCAAAGAAUUAGA